rnacentral:rRNA from 1 species
UACGUAGGGUGCAAGCGUUGUCCGGAAUUAUUGGGCGUAAAGAGCUCGUAGGCGGUUCGGCAAGUCGGAUGUGAAAUCUCCACGCUUAACGUGGAGGGGCCAUUCGAAACUGCCGUGACUCGAGUCCGGUAGGGGAGUGUGGAAUUCCCGGUGUAGCGGUGAAAUGCGUAGAUAUCCGGAAGAACACCGAUGGCGAAGGCAACCACCUGGGCCUGCACUGACGCUGAGGUACGAAAGCGUGGGGAGCAAACAGG